rnacentral:rRNA from 1 species
GACGAAGGGGGCUAGCGUUGUUCGGAAUUACUGGGCGUAAAGCGCGUGUAGGCGGUUGUUCAAGUCGGGUGUGAAAGCCUUGAGCUCAACUCAAGAAAUGCACUCGAUACUGGAUGACUAGAGGACCGGAGAGGAUAGUGGAAUUCCCAGUGUAGUGGUGAAAUACGUAGAGAUUGGGAAGAACACCAGUGGCGAAGGCGGCUAUCUGGACGGUUUCUGACGCUAAGACGCGAAAGCGUGGGGAGCAAACAGG